rnacentral:tRNA from 1 species
GAAGUGGUGGUUCAGUGGUAGAAUUCUUGCCUUUCAUACCAGAGACCCAGGUUCGAUUCCUGGCCAGUGCA